GGAAAGGUCACCCGGAAAGAGAUUUGUGUCACAGCUUGAAUCAGACUGAUCUUGCUCAAAGGGUUAGUCCUCAUCUUUCUCUCUCUCAACUAUUUAUUCAUUGAGUGUAUCCCGUUUUUUUUAGAGCUUCGCAUAUUUGAGUAGUGCUUGCCUAUUACUCCGUAUAGAUUAUAUAUAGGAUGGAAAUGUUUGUCUCUACUCAUAAAAAUUUUGCAACAAUUUUUUUUAUUUUUAUUUUUUGAAAAUGAGAGUCUCUAUAAGAAGUAGCCGUUCGGGUCUUAUUAUGGACAAUAGAACUGUUUAUCAUAAAGUAUACUAAUAUUUAUGUAGUUUUUAUUAUUGGUCCCUCUACUGUUAUUCGACUGCAGAGGUUGUGUUCUAAUCUGUAAGUCUCUAAAUUUGGUUUCUGGAUCAAGAGAAUUAUUUCCUCUCGUCUGAUUUUGAAAUUGGAACAAAAUUUUCAAUUUUCGAACAAUAUUUUUUCUCAUUUCAAAUUCUGAAUUCCAAUUUUUUUUAUUGGAAUUGUGGUAUUUAUAAGAUUCUGAUUUCCAGUCCGUUUUAUUCCGAAAAAAUUCGGGAUCCAAUUUUUUUUCUUCUUCUGAUAUCUGUCGAUUCAAAUCCGAAAUUAUCCGAUUCUGGAAGUUAUUUAAUUCCAAUUUCCGAAACUUCGAUCCCCGAAUUCUUCGAUAUUUUCGGGACAUAAUUGUAAUUAGUUUUUCAGUUCCAAAAAAUCAGAAUGUAUCCGAAAGUGCCAACUCCGAUUCCAAUUCGAUACGUCUGAUUUCACUUAUUCGCCAGCAUGCCCGAUUUUUCUCCGUCACACAACCUUUAACUCUUCUGAUUUUUUUUUUUUUAAAUUUGAAAUUGGAAAUGGACAUUUCACAACAAAUAGAAAUAGAAUAAAGACAUGGUUUACAACCAUGUGCCACACUCAUCACAAUAGAAGGUUCUCGAGAGUUGAGAACAUGUCCUGCUCAAAAAACCAAAAAAGUAACAUGUCUUUACACCUCAAGUUUGACCCAUGUUUUUCAUUCGUCCAGUUGACGUGUCGAGUCCUGAUUCGUCAACUGCACGUAAUCCGGAGCCGAAUAACCGCACCCAACCCAACGGAUACCAACAGCUGGAAAGGCGUUUUCUUUUCCGUUCUGCUAAUCAUUCCUUAAAUCACUCACAUUAUUAUAUUCCGGAAACUCAAAAAUUACUGAUUUAGUAACGCCCCACUGAUACGCUGUCGUAUCAAUCCAGCUGUAUAUUACUCCCCCACUCGCCAGUCUGUUUAUAUUCAUAAUAUUCGGGCAGCUGCCCGUACAACCUAGCAUCUGCCCGUAAACUCUCUUUGUAUUAUUGUAUAUAAAUCCUCACUCACACAGUCUCUUAACCCUUAGCUCUGCCAUUAGCUUCACCCACUUCAUUCUCUCACACUCACUUGAAAAACUCACUCCGAGUUCAGAAAGCAGCAAUGGCGGUGUCUCAGUCCAGAUCUGUGCUUUUUGCGGCGGCGAUAGUGGCGGUGCUCGCGCUCAUCGGAAGUGCGGCCGCGCAGGAGGCGCCGGCGCCGGCACCUGCAUCCUCCGCCGGAGUUGCAUCACCGUCGUUCGCCGUCGGUUGUGCCUUCGCCGUGGUUUCCUUCGUCUUCGGAUCUGCGCUCAGGAUCUGAGAUUCCUAGGGUUCCACGUGGGAGUGUGUGUGUAUAGGAUGCGGGUAUUUUUAGGUGUUUUAUGGAGUUGGAUUUUGUGUUUGAUUUUCGUGUGUGUUUUGUGUUGAAAUUUUAUUUUUAGGGCAUUUGAGUUGGGAUAGAUACAUUUAUUUUAUCUACCGUUUUGUACUUAUUUCACAAUUUCAUGUUCAUUUUGAUUAUAUUAUGGGGUUCCUUCUUCUAUUAUAUUAUGGUUUGAAUUGUUUGUUUAUUUCUCUUAUUUCUACUUUUCAUUAGUUCGCAAUUUAAAUUAAAAAAAAAAUACAUAGUUUAGCAGUAAUUCUGAACCUUUUGUGGUUCAGAGAAAAAUAUAUUAUAUCCAAACUGAAUUUUCUAAAGAUUAAUUUUCAUACCUGUUAUUGCGAACUUCCAAUGGGUGAUAUUCUCCGCCUUAUGCGCAGUCGAAAUAUAUAGAUCUG
rnacentral:lncRNA from 1 species